rnacentral:rRNA from 1 species
CUGGCUCAGGAUGAACGCUAGCUACAGGCUUAACACAUGCAAGUCGAGGGGCAGCAUUGGGAUAGCUUGCUAUUCAGAUGGCGACCGGCGCACGGGUGAGUAACGCGUAUCCAACCUUCCUGCCAGUAGGGAACAGCCCGGCGAAAGUCGGAUUAAUGCCCUAUGUUCUUCAAUGCGGACAUCUAAGUUGAAGGAAAGAUUCAUCGCUGGCAGAUGGGGAUGCGUCCGAUUAGCUUGCCGGCGGGUAACGGCCCACCGGGGCGACGAUCGGUAGGGGUUCUGAGAGGAAGGUCCCCCACACUGGUACUGAGACACGGACCAGACUCCUACGGGAGGCAGCAGUGAGGAAUAUUGGUCAAUGGGCGUAAGCCUGAACCAGCCAAGUAGCGUGCAGGAUGACGGCCCUAUGGGUUGUAAACUGCUUUUAUCAGGGGAUAAAGUGAGGUAUGUAUACCUUUUUGCAUGUACCUGAUGAAUAAGGACCGGCUAAUUCCGUGCCAGCAGCUGC